GACGAACGCUGGCGGCGUGCUUAACACAUGCAAGUCGAACGGAAAGGCCCUGCUUUUGUGGGGUGCUCGAGUGGCGAACGGGUGAGUAACACGUGAGUAACCUGCCCUUGACUUUGGGAUAACUUCAGGAAACUGGGGCUAAUACCGGAUAGGAGCUCCUGCUGCAUGGUGGGGGUUGGAAAGUUUCGGCGGUUGGGGAUGGACUCGCGGCUUAUCAGCUUGUUGGUGGGGUAGUGGCGUACCAAGGCUUUGACGGGUAGCCGGCCUGAGAGGGUGACCGGCCACCUUGGGACUGAGAGACGGCCCAGACUCCUACGGUGGGCAGCAGUGGGGAAUAUUGCACAAUGGGCGGAAGCCUGAUGCAGCAGCGCCGCGUGCGGGAUGACGGCCUUCGGGUUGUAAACCGCUUUCGCCUGUGACGAAGCGUGAGUGACGGUAAUGGGUAAAGAAGCACCGGCUAACUACGUG
rnacentral:rRNA from 1 species